CCGGUUGCUAUGUAGGCAGCCUGAUGCAGCAUGCCGCGUGAGUGAUGAAGGCCUUCGGGUUGUAAAGCUCUUUUUGCUGGGAAGAUAAUGACGGUACCGGUAGAAUAAUGACCGGCUAACUCCGUGCCACCCCCCGUGGUUAUGUGCUAGCAGCCGCGGUAAUAA
rnacentral:rRNA from 1 species